UACGUAGGGCGCAAGCGUUAUCCGGAAUUAUUGGGCGUAAAGAGCUCGUAGGCGGUUUGUCGCGUCUGCCGUGAAAGUCCGGGGCUCAACUCCGGAUCUGCGGUGGGUACGGGCAGACUAGAGUGAUGUAGGGGAGACUGGAAUUCCUGGUGUAGCGGUGAAAUGCGCAGAUAUCAGGAGGAACACCGAUGGCGAAGGCAGGUCUCUGGGCAUUAACUGACGCUGAGGAGCGCAAGCAUGGGGAGCGAGCAGG
rnacentral:rRNA from 1 species